UACGUAGGGUGCGAGCGUUAAUCGGAAUUACUGGGCGUAAAGCGUGCGCAGGCGGUGAUGUAAGACCGAUGUGAAAUCCCCGGGCUUAACCUGGGAACUGCAUUGGUGACUGCAUUGCUGGAGUAUGGCAGAGGGUAGUGGAAUUCCCGGUGUAGUGGUGAAAUGCGUAGAUAUCGGGAGGAACACCAGUGGCGAAGGCGACUACCUGGCCCAUUCUUGACGCUGAGGCGCGAAAGCUAGGGGAGCGAACGGG
rnacentral:rRNA from 1 species